AUAUAGUACAUGACUGAUUGGAUGUAUUCUACUACACUUUUCAGAUACGAAGAAAAAUCAUGAGAUGUGUAGAAAACUUGGAGAAGAAUGCCCUGGUUAAAUGUCAUGCCAUGCACAGAAGGGAUUAUGACACCUUUGUUCGAAGCAAUUAGUAUAUUCUACUUAACUCAUUGAGCACCAGCACUCUCCCCUUCACAAAUAAAAUUGUCUGCCAUUAGACAGAAUAUAAUAAUAAAGUAGGGUGCACUGGGGCAUAUUGCCACUUAUCAAAGGCUUACCAUAUACUGGUCAACCCAUGGAGUGAUAGAGCUCUCCCCAUGCAUUGACAAGUAUAUUUGUCUGGCAUUUGACAGGAAAAUUAUACAGUGCAUUAUUGUCACAUAUCAAAAGGGAUAAUUAUUAUUAAUUAGGGCCCACAGCAACUCUUUUGUUCCCUAGCUCAGGGG